rnacentral:lncRNA from 12 species
CAGAUACUGGGUCUAGCAUGGUGGUGUUAAAUCCCAUGUAAGAUACACACCCUGAAGGCAAUCUCUGGAAUAUCCAAGAACCAGCUUCAGAGAGUGGUUUGGUGAGUGCAGAUAUGUUUUGGCCUUUUUCUUCUGCAGACCUUGACUGAGA